UAAUAUUUUAAUAUCAAAUACAUAACUUUUAGCCUUUCUAAUCAGUUGUUGAAAUUAGCAGCAAGAAAACGUGUAACAAGCACAAAGUAAGUCGUAAUUGAAGUAAUUGUGUUUAAUUUAUUUUUCGGUAGCUUUUUUCUGCCUCUUACUCUACAACCUGAGCUUUGAUCGAUCGAACUCUUAAAAAAAUUCUUUAACUAAAAUUUUACAAAGUUUAAAAAAAAAAACUAAAAUUUUACAAAGUGGAUUGAAAAAAAAGUUCUAAAAGUCAUCACAUGCUAAUCUACGCGACAUGUUUUCUUUUAUUUUAUAGAUAGACAACUUGACUAGUUGUUGAUAGAGAAUGUGGCUAAGCCCAAAAAAAAAAGUAAACAGACACAAUGUUGUAUACAGAUUUUUCUUACACACGAUCAUUGUUCUUGCAAAAACAA
rnacentral:lncRNA from 1 species